GCUUGUCUCAGCAUUGGUUUAAAACAAGAUCAAGACUAAGAAGAGUCAAGCUGCUUUUGCAAAGGAUUCAUUAGAUUCUGGUCAGAAUUUUCUAUAAAUAUGCAGAGUACAUCAUGCAAGAUUCUGGGCUGGAUGAAACACAAGAAAGCUGAGUGCUGAAGAAUGGAUGCUUUUGAACUGUGGUACUGGAGAAGAGUCUUGAGAGUUCCUUGAACUGCAAGGAGAUAAAACCAGUCAAUCGUAAAGGAAAUCAGUUCAGAAUAUUCAUUGGAAGGACUGAUGCUGAAGCUGAAACUCCAAUACUUUGGCCACCUAAUGCAAAGAACUGGCUCAUUGGAAAAGACCCUGAUGCUGGGCAAGAUUGAAGGCAGGAGGAGAAGGGGACAACAGAGAAUGAGAUGGUUGGAUGGCAUCACCGAUCCAAUGGACAUGAGUCUGAACAUGCUCUGGGAGUUGGUGAUGGACAGGGAAGCCUGGCGUGCUUCAGUCCAUGGGGUCACAAAGAGUCGGACAUGACUAAGUGACUGAACUGAACUGAUGGGUGUUAUAUUUGUUUAUGCUCAAUAUCUGAUCUGUGGCAUCUAACUCAUGGUUUGUCACAUAAUAUCUACUCAAUAAAUAGUUUUGGAAGACGUGAGUGGACUGCCUUUAGUCCACAUCAAGCACUGUAACUCAUUUUCUACCUAAUGUCCCUUCAGAUCUUUGAGAAGCAUCAUGCUCCCCACUCUGACUCAGAUGUUCUCACUUCAGAAAUAAUAAUGCCAUUUGUUUAUUCAAUCAACCUUUAUGUUAAAUGUUUUCUGAUCUUUUAUAACCCCAUUCACUCCUCCUUGAAUGGAGUUUUCAUUGUCUAGGUAAAUACAAAUAACUCUGAAAAUGAUAUGUUCAGAAAUAAGCCCAAUAGUCAAGUUAAUAAUUUUUUUCCCUCUAUACAUGCCAUUCAACUUUCUUGUUCAUACAGUUCUAUAGAGAGUAGAUUAGCUAAUAAAAUAGUCAUCAUGGAACCAUUCCUUGUAAUUAUAAGACCACCACUCUAAUCUGUUUAACCAGGCAACUUAACAAAACUCUCUGUCUGUUUUAGUGUAUAAUACAAAAACCCAAUUUUAUUCAAUUUCACUUAUAGCAAAAUAUAUAUAUA
ensembl:lncRNA